rnacentral:rRNA from 1 species
UACGUAGGGUGCGAGCGUUAAUCGGAAUUACUGGGCGUAAAGCGUGCGCAGGCGGUUCGUUGUGUCGGCGGUGAAAGCCCCGGGCUCAACCUGGGAAUGGCAUUGGAAACUGGCGAGCUAGAGUGUGGCAGAGGGGGGUGGAAUUCCCGGUGUAGUGGUGAAAUGCGUAGAGAUCGGGAGGAACACCUGUGGCGAAGGCGGCCCCCCUGGGCCGGCCCUGACACUGAGACGCGAAGGCGUGGGGAGCGAACGGG